rnacentral:tRNA from 1 species
GGGGCUGUGGCUCAGUGGUAGAGCGCUCGCCUAGCAUGCCUGAGGUACUGGGUUCGAUUCUCAGCACCA